rnacentral:rRNA from 1 species
UACGUAGGGGGCGAGCGUUGUCCGGAUUUAUUGGGCGUAAAGAGCUCGUAGGCGGUUUGGUAAGUCACGGGUGAAAUCUCCACGCUCAACGUGGAGGCGCCCCGUGAGACUGCUAUGACUAGAGUCCGGUAGAGGAGUGUGGAAUUCCCGGUGUAGCGGUGAAAUGCGCAGAGAUCGGGAGGAACACCCGUAGCGAAGGCGGCACUCUGGGCCGGUACUGACGCUCAGGAGCGAAAGCGUGGGGAGCAAACAGGAUUAGAUACCCUGGUAGUCCACGCCGUAAACGUUGGGCACUAGGUGUGGGGUUCUAUCGACGGACUCCGUGCCGUAGCUAACGCAUUAAGUGCCCCGCCUGGGGAGUACGGCCGCAAGGCUAAA